rnacentral:rRNA from 1 species
GACAGAGGGUGCAAACGUUGUUCGGAAUUACUGGGCGUAAAGCGCGUGUAGGCGGCCAUGCAAGUCGGAUGUGAAAGCCCUCGGCUCAACCGGGGAAGUGCACUCGAAACUGCAAGGCUAGAGUCUCGGAGAGGAUCGUGGAAUUCUCGGUGUAGAGGUGAAAUUCGUAGAUAUCGAGAGGAACACCGGUGGCGAAGGCGGGUCUCUGGGCCGAUACUGACGCUGAGGAGCGAAAGCGUGGGGAGCGAACAGG